rnacentral:rRNA from 1 species
GAUGAACGCUGGCGGCGUGCUUAACACAUGCAAGUCGAACGGUGAAGGCGGAGCUUGCUCUGCUGGAUCAGUGGCGAACGGGUGAGUAACACGUGAGCAAUCUGCCCCUGACUCUGGGAUAAGCGCUGGAAAAGGCGUCUAAUACUGGAUACGAGCUGCGAAGGCAUCUUCAGCAGCUGGAAAGAACUUCGGUCAGGGAUGAGCUCGCGGCCUAUCAGCUUGUUGGUGAGGUAACGGCUCACCAAGGCGUCGACGGGUAGCCGGCCUGAGAGGGUGACCGGCGACACUGGGACUGAGACACGGCCCAGACUCCUACGGGAGGCAGCAGUGGAGAAUAUUGCACAAUGGGCGAAAGCCUGAUGCAGCAACGCCGCGUGAGGGACGACGGCCUUCGGGUUGUAAACCUCUUUGAGCAGAGAAGAAGCGAAAGUGACGGUACCUGCAGAAAAAGCGCCGGCUAACUACGUG